rnacentral:rRNA from 1 species
UACGUAGGGGGCAAGCGUUGUCCGGAAUUAUUGGGCGUAAAGGGCGCGUAGGCGGCCUUCUAAGUCAGACGUGAAAUCCCCCGGCUUAACCUGGGAACUGCGUCUGAUACUGGGAGGCUUGAGUAUGGGAGAGGGAUGUAGAAUUCCAGGUGUAGCGGUGAAAUGCGUAGAUAUCUGGAGGAAUACCGGUGGCGAAGGCGGCAUCCUGGACCAUAACUGACGCUGAGGCGCGAAAGCUAGGGGAGCAAACGGG